AUUGAACGCUGGCGGCAGGCCUAACACAUGCAAGUCGAGCGAGUGGCGGACGGGUGAGUAAUGUCUGGGAAACUGCCUGAUGGAGGGGGAUAACUACUGGAAACGGUAGCUAAUACCGCAUACUAUCGGAUGUACCCAUAUGGGAUUAGCUAGUUGGUGGGGUAACGGCUCACCUAGGCGACGAUCCCUAGCUGGUCUGAGAGGAUGAUCAGCCAAACUGGAACUGAGACACGGUCCAGACUCCUACGGGAGGCAGCAGUGGGGAAUAUUGCACAAUGGGCGCAAGCCUGAUGCAGCCAUGCCGCGUGUAUGAAGAAGGCCUUAGGGUUGUAAAGUACUUUCAGCGGGGAGGCGUUACCCGCAGAAGAAGCACCGGCUAACUCCGUGCCAGCAGCCGCGGUAAUUC
rnacentral:rRNA from 1 species